AUUGAACGCUGGCGGCAGGCCUAACACAUGCAAGUCGAGCGGAUGACGGGAGCUUGCUCCUUGAUUCAGCGGCGGACGGGUGAGUAAUGCCUAGGAAUCUGCCUGGUAUUGGGGGACAACGUUUCGAAAGGAACGCUAAUACCGCAUACGUCCUACGGGAGAAAGCAGGGGACCUCCGGGCCUUGCGCUAUCAGAUGAGCCGAGGUCGGGUUAGCUAGUUGGUGGGGUAAUGGCUCACCAAGGCGACGAUCCGUAACUGGUCUGAGAGGAUGAUCAGUCACACUGGAACUGAGACACGGUCCAGACUCCUACGGGAGGCAGCAGUGGGGAAUAUUGGACAAUGGGCGAAAGCCUGAUCCAGCCAUGCCGCGUGUGUGAAGAAGGUCUUCGGAUUGUAAAGCACUUUAAGUUGGGAGGAAGGGCAGUAAGUUAAUACCUUGCUGUUUUGACGUUACCGACAGAAUAAGCACCGGCUAACUCUGUGCCAGCAGCCGCGGUAA
rnacentral:rRNA from 1 species